AGAACGAACGCUGGCGGCGUGGAUCAGACAUGCAAGUCGAACGGGGUUAGUUCGGUAGUAAUACUGGGCUAAUCUAGUGGCGAACGGGUGCGUAACACGUGACCAACCUGCCUGAAAGUGGGGGAUAGCUCGCCGAAAGGCGAAUUAAUACCGCAUGUGAUCGCGAGAUCAAAGCAGCAAUGCGCUUUCAGAGGGGGUCGCGGCCUAUCAGCUAGUUGGUGAGGUAACGGCUUACCAAGGCAGCGACGGGUAGCUGGUCUGAGAGGACGACCAGCCACACUGGAACUGAGACACGGUCCAGACACCUACGGGUGGCAGCAGUCGAGAAUUUUCUCAAUGGGGGAAACCCUGAAGGAGCGACGCCGCGUGGAGGAUGAAGGCUUUCGGGUUGUAAACUCCUGUCAUCUGGGAACAAACCUGCAAAGGCUUGAUAGUACCAGAAGAGGAAGAGACGGCUAACUCUGCGCCAGCAGCCGCGGU
rnacentral:rRNA from 1 species